GUUCUCAAACAUCACAACAAACCGGACAGUGCCUCCCAGAGAUGAAACAUGAAAAUGACAACGUUUGAUGAAAAAUGGGCACUUAAAAAUGUACAAAUACUCCAAACUGGUUCACAUCACUAUUUCCCACCUGGGCAAAAUUGGAUAUUUGGUCUCCUGUUGGGGAUUAAGGAAAUCUCUACCAAUAUUCAAAACAACAACGUUCAGCAUUAACAACACAUACAAAAUGCGGGAGGAAUUCAGCAAGUCAGGCAGCAUCUACGGAGGAGAAUAAACAGUCAAUGUUUCGGACUGAGACCCUUCGCCAGGACCGGAGAUGCCAGAAAGUGACAGUAUUUGCUGGAGGUGCUGCCUCAAGGAGACAACGUCCCUCAUAAGAGAUUCCCACCAUCUGGGCCAUGCCAUCUUUUAGAAGCUACCAUCACGCAGGAGGUACAGAAGCCUGACACCCAAGUUCAAGAACAGUUGUUUCCCUUCUACCAUUUGGUUCUUGAACCAACCGAUAAAACCCCAAUCACCACAGUUUAACAGCACCACCAGCCACUUGACAACUUUGCAGUAAAAUGGACUUUUUUUUUGUUCAAUUGUAAUUUAAAAAACAUAUAAUUGAAGGUGGCACCAGCGAAUAAUGCCACCAAAGGCCUUCAGAUAACGAACACUGAGCUGAACUGUAUUGAAAUAUAUUUUGUGAUUUUUGUGUUUUAUAUUCUGGGUUUUCCUUGUUCUUGUUACCAUUUGCACAAUUUUGAUUUUGCACCUGGGAGGAGGGAAGUGGGUUUGAUGUUUCUCUUUGGACAGUUUGGUUCCAUUGUUCUUCGUUUUGUACCUGCCUGUGGGGAAGAUGAAUCUUGGGGUUGUAUAUGACAUACAUACUUAGAUAAUAAAUGUACUUUGAAUCUUUGAAUUAAUUUAAGUUUAUCUUGUGAAUGCUGCUCAGAUGAUGCUAUGGGUAACUUUUUUGUUCCACCUGUGCAUAGACGUAUUUGUGACAAUGAACUCAACUUUAACUCGGUGUCCCCAGCCCUAAGUGGCCCUCAGCAGAUUUCAAAUUUCCUGAUUCAUCCAAAGCUUCUGCUUGGGGAAGACUCUAAAUGCUUAUGACGGUACACACUUGUCCAUGCGAAUCCUUAUGAAGUUGGUGAUGACUGUGACAAAUCCAUUUAAGUCCCCUGACAAAUCCUUGAAUAUUGUGAACAUUUACAAGUGGUAGUGUAAUGGUUAGCCCAAUGCUUUAUAGUACCAGUGACUCAACUGUCUGUAAGGAGUUUGUACAUUCUCUGCAUGACCAUAUGGGUUUCCUCUGGGUGCUCCAGUUUCCUCCCACGGUCCAAAGAUGUACAGGUUGCUAGGUUAAUUGGUCACUGUAAAUUGUUCUGUGAUUAGGCUAGGAUUAAAUUGGGGAUUGCUGGUGGCAUGGCUCAAAGGGGCAGAAGAACCUAUUCUGUGCUGGAUCUCAAUAAUUAAAUAAAUAAAUUGGGGGAAUUAAUAAAGGAAGCAGAGAAUGGUGUGAAAAGCAACAAAAGUUUUAGAUUAGAGGAGGCAAAAAAGCCAUUCUGUUUCUUGAACAAGAGACCUAAAUCAAGUCCUCUUUGCAAGUUAAAAGAAAGAUCAGUCAUAAUCCAAGGAAGCUGUGUGGAGCGAGACAUGAUGGAAAUAUGUCAUUGUCUAUUGAUAGCUAAUAGAAUCUCAUCUUCACUUUAUUCAAGCAUUUUUCAGCAAUCGGAUAUUGCUGGCAAAUCCAGUAUUUAAUCUUUCUCCGUGAUUGGCCUUAAGGUGAUGGUAAGAUUUCACCCACAAUGUUGUUGGAGAAGGAGUUCCAGACACUAGACACGAUGAUGAAUGGCAAGGUAUUUCCAGGUCAGAAUGGUGUAUGAAUGCCCUGAUGAUGUUCCCAUGUGUCUUCUGCUUUUGUCAUGUCCAGUGGUGGUAUAGGGGACUCAGGAGGUGCUGUUGAAGCAACUUGGGUAAGAACUCCAUUGUUAAUUAUUAACCAGAUGACUGACAGACCAGCACGAGUCUGAUUAUAGAACCAUAUGGUGUGGAAAUGAACCAUCCAUGCCAAUCAGUGGGCACCUUUUGGUAUUAACCCUAUUUGUCAGCACAUUAUCCACAGAAUCAAAGUCAUCUGGACACUACUUGAAUGCUGUCAGUGACCCAGCUUCAACUACUCCCUCCAGCAGUGCAUUUCAGGUACUUGCCACUCUCAGAGUGAAGUAAAUCACUCUUACAUCCCCUCUAAAUCUCUGCCCCCUUGUGAUCUUUAGUUGUUUUCUACAUCUGGUAUGCAGAAAAGUUUUCCUACCAGGCCUAUCCCUGCCCAAGCACAACUUUAUACCUAAAUGAUCUCCCUCCUGUGCUUCAGGAUGGGAAGACCUGGCUUCUCCUGUCUCUCCCCAUAAUGCAACUGCUCCAUCUUGGGCAACAUCCUGGUGAAUCUGCACUGCACCAUCCCAUCCUUCCUGAUGAAGGGUCUCUGCCCGAAACAUUAGCUGUACAUAUUCCCCCAUUGCCGCUACCAGAUCAACUGAGUUCCUACUAUGUGGUGUUUCCCACUCUUUGCUGAACACACAAAACUCCAGCUGAGGUCUGGCCAAGGUUUAUUGUGUUAGAACAUAACCUGUCUACUUCUCUAUCUAGUGCCCCAACUACUGAACACCAAUUUCCCUUGUGCCUUCCUAACCAUGCUAUCUAUUUGUGUUGCCACCUUCAAAGUUCUAUGGGCCUGUACUCUGAGUUGCCACGGUAUUCUCCAAGUCUUUGCAAUCCAUUGUGUUUAUUGAAGCCUCAUUACAACUCCCACAAUGCACGACCUUGCAUUUGUCUGAAUUAAAUGCCAUCUGCCAUCUUUCAGCCCAUCUCACUAAAACUGCAAUAAUUAUCGGUAGCUUAAGACUCCCACAUUACCAUAAACUACACCAAUGUUUAAAUCAUCUAUUAAUUUGCUGAUUGUGUCUCCUCAUCUCUUGCUCACGUAUCACGAACUGUAUGCUAAUGAUAAAAAAUAGAUCUCUACCAUCACCCUCUGUCUCCUUACUGCAGGGCCAAUUGUGGCUCAAGUUUGCCAACUUGCCCUGGAUCCCAUGGGCUCUAACCCUCUGAGCUAGCCUUCCUUGUGACACCUUAUCAAAGAUGAGUGUAUUUAAUAUUUCAGUAGUCUUGUAUAUAUGUUGUUUGAAGCAUUCUUGUCCAUUUAAAUAAUUAAUUGCAGGUUAUAUGUAAAAAUACAUGAAUUACAUAUGUCGUCAUGCUACCAUGUGCUAUAUGAGCACCUCACUUAAAGUAAACAUGAAGUUAGAUCCACACUCCUGGAUUCCCAUGUCUUCCUUUGAAUUAGUCUAAUGUUUUAGAGUUAUAAAACAUAAUAAAAGGUUUCGCCAAAGAAUGGCAGCAGAUUUCAACUCCAAAGUCUGGAAUGCCCCAAGCUGUAAUAGCAUCACUCUAUGAUUUACUGCCCUGCCCACAUCAAUACACUAUUACCUCUUCAAAGAAUGCAAUCUAAUCGAUCAGACAGGACCUGCCCUUGGCAAAACCCUGUUGGCUAUCUCUGAUUAGUCCCUAUCUUUACAAAGAUCAUAGAUCUUCCCUGUUGCUGUUGGGCUCACACGUCUAUAGUUGCCAAGGUUUUCCCUGCUGCCUGCUGUGAAGAAGGGAAAUGUUUGCUGUCCUCCAGUCACCUUGUGUCAAGGAAAUGCUGAAUAAUUUCAGCACGAGCCACAGCAAUCUCCCCCUUUGCCUCCCGCAGCCCUAGGAUGUAUAUCACAUCCAUACAACUGAUUUCAUGAGAAUGACUGUAAGAUACAGGAGCAGAAUUAGGCAUUUGGCUCAUUGAGUCUGCCUGCCAUUUCUUCAUGCCUGUUGCAUUUUCCCCUCUCAGCCCCAAUCUCCUGCCUUUGCCCUGUAUCCCUUCAUGCCCUGACUAAUCAAGAAUCUAUCAACCUCUGCCUUAAAUAUACCCAAUGAUUUGGCUUCCAGAACCGCCUGUGGCAUCGAAUUCCAUGGAUUCCCCACUCUCUGGCUAAAGAAAUACCUCCUCACCUCCAUUCUAAAAGUACGUCCCUCCAUUCUGAGGCUGUGUCCUCUGGUGUUACUCUCCCAUCAUGGGAAACAUCCCACCCACGUACACUCUAUUGAAGCCUUUCAGAAUGAGUAGGAAAACUCUAGGAAUCAAUCAGUUUUGCUUUCAAUUGACAUUUAAUUCUAUUUUUAUUGAAGAAUUGCACAUGCUUAAGUGGUUUGAUUCCGUGUUAGCUGAAUUCUGAAGUACUUUACUCUUCUACAGAUGUGAUUCUGUUUUAUUUGGACUGGUAGCUAAGUAUUUAAAUUAAAAACAACAAAAACAUUUUUAAAAAGCCAUAUGCACAGCUUCAAGCCUGUAUUGUUGCAAAUGCUAUUGACCUUUCAUAAAUUGGUAACUUGAAGUAGUCCAAGCUAUGACUGUGCAGUUUUGUAUUCAUGACCUAAUGAGAGUCAUAUUACUAAAUGAGUAUACCAGCCAGAACUUUCUAAAACAGAGAAUAUCCUAUGAGCUAUAAUUGGAGCAUGGUGAACAUGCUUUUGUUAUUCAACAGAAAAAGAGAUUUCAUAGAGCAGUGGUUAGUAUUUCCCACCUGCAGCUCAUAAGGCCAGAAAGAGGAAGUGAGGUGGAAGAGAAAGCCUUUAUGUGAAAUGGAGACGCUAAGGCCUUCUACUUAAGUUCAUUCUGAAGUAAAGAAUCUUUUGGUUGUUUAGAUGUGGAUGGUGGUCAGAUGUGCUGCUCCAAUCUUGAAAUAAAAUGUGGAUUUUAUAGGACACGGAUUUCCAUAAGAUUAAAAUUCCAGUAGAUCGGAUUUUCAUUACAUGGAUAUCAAUACUGGUAAAAGCUUUCCUUGGGCCUCAAAGGACAAAACUUGACAAUGAAAGUAGUUUAAAUGUUGAAGCUUUGAGAAUGAAAAUCCUUUGAUGGAUACAGUAAUUCUAUUGUGUGAUCAGUUGGGGGAAUGAUUUAACUGCUGACUAAAUUUCUUUAUUCUUAACUCUGCACAUUGGGUGUUUGAUGGUCUUUGUUUUGCAUUGUUUGGAUUUCUUUGUUU